rnacentral:misc_RNA from 1 species
CGGUUCGAGUCCGCUUACCUCCACUGAAAACUAUCCUGAUAACUAAAUUCCGGAGAAAAUUUGUAGAUGUGUCUUAGAAUUGUCUAUUUGAAUAGAAUCUAGCUUCUUAUCAUCUUCUUAAUAGUUGAUAAUAUGCUGGGCUCCAUGGAUUUAUUCCGUGAGAAUUCAGUA